rnacentral:rRNA from 1 species
AACGAACGCUGGCGGCAGGCCUAACACAUGCAAGUCGAACGCCCUAGCAAUAGGGAGUGGCAGACGGGUGAGUAACACGUGGGAACCUUCCCUAUAGUACGGAAUAUACCAGGGAAACUUGGAGCAAUACCGUAUACGCCCGAGAGGGGAAAGAUUUAUCGCUAUAGGAUGGGCCCGCGUAGGAUUAGCUAGUUGGUGAGGUAAUGGCUCACCAAGGCGACGAUCCUUAGCUGGUUUGAGAGAACGACCAGCCACACUGGGACUGAGACACGGCCCAGACUCCUACGGGAGGCAGCAGUGGGGAAUAUUGGACAAUGGGCGCAAGCCUGAUCCAGCCAUGCCGCGUGAGUGAUGAAGGCCUUAGGGUUGUAAAGCUCUUUUAGCAGGGAAGAUAAUGACUGUACCUGCAGAAUAAGCUCCGGCUAACUUCGUGCCAGCCGCCGCAGUAACAC